GGCUCCGUAGCUCAAUGGAUAGAGCAGUUCCGUCCUAAGGAAAAGGUUGUGCGUUCGACUCGCACCGGAGUCACCA
rnacentral:tRNA from 1 species